UUUAAUAAAAGUACUAGUAGUCUAGAAUUUUUCCUGGCUAUCCAAUGGCGACCUUUACUUUUACCUUGACCUUCAACGGACGUCAUCUUCUAGAGUUUCGAGGGUUUUCAGCAUUAAAUUUAUAUAAGUAAACAGAUUACUCAUGGGUUCUUGGGAUCGCUAAACACUAAUAUGCCAUCAGAAAUGACCUCCGGAGGACGUGGUGGCCAGGGCCACUGCAAGGGACGUCAUCUUCUAGAGUUUCGAUGGUUUUCGGCAAUUAAUUGAUGCAAAUGAAUUACUGGACGGUUUUUUGAGGUCGCUAAACACGAAUAUGCCACCAGAACCGACUCCCGGAGCACUUGGUUUCCAAGGUCAAUGAAAGGGGCUCCUGGAGUUUCGAGGGUCUUCGGUACUACAUAUUCUGCCUAUCAAUUUAAUGCUAAAAACCCUCUAAACUCUAGAAGAUGACCUCCGUUGAAGGUCAAUAAAAGUAAAGGUCACCAUUGGAUAGCCAGGAAAAAAUCGUAGACUACUAGUACUUUUAUUUAAUCCGAACUGCUACAUGUUGCCAGAUAACCAAUAACUCAGGGAAUUGGAAUACCCGGUAAAUCUUAUAAUUUUCCUAGUUUGUGCCUCUAUAUCUUGAAAAUCCUCCAUACGAUCGUGAUGUGCCCAUGAGAACUUUUUAUCGGGAUGCUUUAAAGAGUAUUUUCCCAAAGUUUUAACUAAAUCCACUGGGACCUAAUUUCCAUAAGGUUUGUACGGGGUACUUUUGCCUUUUAUUUCUUUGGCCGCUGCUUGAGCUAUUUUACAACUAAAAUGUAUUCCAAGAAAGAGAUUCGUUCAAGGAUCUGCCUAAUUCAAAAAACAAAAAGAAAUUGGAAACGAUUUUGUAGUCUCAUUGCAUUAUGAUGAAAUCGUUUUGAUAGAAUAAAUUAAAAGGCUCGAGAAAGUAAAAUAUUCUAGGUAUUCAAAAAAGUAAUAGUUCAACUUUAACUUCAAAUUAUACUAUUUAAAAAGCAUAUUGUUUAAAUGAAAUGAUUUUUCAAUAGUAGAAUAUUCACCGACAUUAACAUAAAUUAAAAUUAACGUUACUAUAUAUUUUUACGGGGAAAUGCAAAUAGGGAAUACUCAUUACGGGAUAUUUUUUAUUCAAUAAAAUCCCAGAUUUACUAAAAUCAUUUAAACAUAUUCAAAAAAAGUUCUAUUUCAAACUAACACAAAAAAAUAUAGAAAUACACAUUAUUUGCAUGAACUACCUUAUUAAUUAUUGAUUUUUAACUUUUGUGCAAAAUUGGAAAACUGUGUUUAUCUUUUUUAUAUAAUUUUAAUAACGUCACGUCCACAGUCAAUGCCAACAUCGUUGUUUGUUUUAUCAUCACCAGUGAAAAUUAUUGUCAUAUCAUUAUCAGCACAGAAGUAGCUCAACGAUAACUGGACAAGGUUCUUUUUCAUAACUGCCGAUAAGAGAUAAAGCUCCCACAACAAUAGAUUAAUACAUAGUAAAAAUAUAUGCUAACCAUACGCAUACCCAACAAAUGAUAUUUGUAGAUAAAUUUUUAAACCCAAACUUUAUUAAACCUUGACAUCUCUGGUAAAUGUAUUACAUAAUCUCACUUAUCUGUUUAGUUCCGUACGUAACCUAAUAAUAGUUAACACUUUCAGCUCCUAGCCAAUAUCAGAUAUUUGUCUCAUAUGCCCCUUUUAUACAGUCUUUGGUUGGAAAAUUGUUGAAAUGUGAACAAGGUAGGCUUGUCGAUGGCACCAGAUUGAUAACAGUGUGAACACGGGAGCCGUAUCGGCGGACUUGAAAGUGUUAAGGAAUAUAUUAUAGGUACGAUGUGAUGAGUGAGAAGUGGAAAAAUAAUUAGAAGAGCUGAAGAAAUAAUCUAACAAUAAAACACUGAAAACGUUUGUUUUCUAUACUUCCACAAAAUUUAUUACAACUAUGUGACUACAGCUGUUCCGGCAGAGUGCCUUUCUCAAGUGAUUUAGAUUACUAUGGGUUUGCCUUUUUAAAGUCUUUAACUGAAGAGGUUGAGGAGUGGGGAGCUGUUGUUUGUCUCGAGUUGGUCAUUCAGAAUUAUAUCUGUAUUUUUCAAUUUAUUAAUUUCCAUAGAUUCUAAUAAAGAUAUGGUAAGACCUUUAUUCUGUAUAUGCAGAAUUUGAAACUGUUCAUUAAAAGAAUGAUUAUGAUCUAGAAGGUGAAGUGCGUAUGCAGAAGUGUCUCUUUUUCUAUUGUUGAAGUCCUUUUGUGUUCUGCUAUCCGUUUGUCAAAGGUUCUGCCAGUUUGACCAAUGUAAGUUUUCGGACAGUCACCACAAGUCCAACAGAACAGAAAUACCUUAAUAUUAUGAACCCACAACCUCCUAAAUUAUACUCCUCUUUUAUUAAACUACACAAACCUGACCACCUAAUAAGGCCUGUAGUUUCUUUUUAUACAGCUCCGUCAUAUAAAUUUUCAAAAAAAACCGUCAGAUAUUAUUACAGAAUACACUAAAUUUUCACCUAAAUUCACCGUAAAAAAUACACUAGAACUAGUUAAUAAAAUACAACAUUUUCAAUUGCCCAACAACUCCAGACUAAUCUCAUUUGACGUAAAAAAUCUUAUUCCUAGUGUUCCUCCUACAGAAACUUUUGUUUUAGUUAAAAAUCUUUUAGACAAUAAUAGUACAAAUCCGAUCAUUGCAUCUGAAAUUUUGCACCUUCUUUAAAUUUGCAUAAAUCAAGCCUAUUUUGAAUUCAAUAAUCAAAUAUACUCAAACAACAGUGCAGGACUUAUUAUGGGUAAUCCUCUAAGCCCAUUGCUAUCAGAUAUAUUUAUGAACCAGCUUGAAACAACAAUUUCUAAAUAUCCCGUAUUUAAACAGUUCUUAUAUUGGUGGAGAUACGUGGAUGAUAAUAUACUAGUAUGCUUUACAGGAACUAACAGGCAACUUGACCAAUUUCUAUCAUACAUUAAUUCACUUCAUAGUACAGUGGAACCUCGAUAACUCGGAUUAAUCGGGACCGCGGCCGAUCCGGGUUAUCGAAAAUCCGGGUUAGCCAGAGAAUAUGGUAAAAAUUAAUAAAAUACGGUAUACUUACAGAUAAACUCCGUUAGAAUUGAAAUAUAUAUAAAUAUGCACAGUACCUCCUACACAUCUAAAUUACUAAAAACACGCAAACACAAACGUAAGCAAACGGAACCAACAAUAUACAAGACUGUACUACACACAAUACAGUCACAAUCGAUGUGAUGUUAUUUUUAAGAACAGUGAAAACUAAAGACCAUUGUUUGAAAAAGAAUUUUUUAAAUAGGUAGUCUUUUAGUCUUUUUAAACAAUGCUGUUUGAAAUAUAUAAAGGACUACAGACAGGUGUCUGUUGUUUCUGCCGGCGCGGCGUGUGCCAUGAGUCAUUUUUACUAUCGUAUAGUUCAAAUUACACAAAUACACAUUAUCUCUCAAAUAUUAUAUUACAUACAUUUUUAUUACUGAAAUGUUUAUCUGAUAAUUAACUAUGUAUUUUGAUAGGAAAUAAGCCACAAUUAAAUUGAAAAAUAAUUUUAUUAACAUUUCGACGCCCAAAUCGGGUGUCGUUGUCAAAAUACAAAAUACUGAAAAUUAAAAUGUUUAUCUGAUGAAAAUCGGUCCGGGUUAGCCGGACUUCCGGGUUAUCGGGGGCCGACUUAUCGGGGUUCCACUGUAAUAUUGAGUUUACAAUAGAAACCGAACAGAAUAAGUGCAUAAACUUUCUAGAUGUAACAAUUACCAGACUACACAACAAACAUGAGUUCUCGGUCAAACUGGCAGAACCUUUGACAAACGGAUAGCAGAACACAAAAGGGCUUUCAACAAUAGAAAAACAGACACUUCUACAUACGCACUUCACCUUCUAGAUCAUAAUCAUUCUUUUAAUGAACAGUUUCAAAUUCUGCAUAUUCAGAAUAAAGGUCUUAAGCUAUCUUUAUUACAAUCUAUGGAAAUUAAAAAAUUGAAAAAUACAGAUAUAAUUCUGAAUGACCAACUCGAGACAAACAGCUCCCCACUCCUCAACCUCUUCAGUUAAAGACUUUAAAAAGGCAAACCCAUAGUAAUCUAAAUCACUUGUAUUGAGAAAGUCUAUUGAGAAAGGCACUCUGCCGAAACAGCUGUGGUCACAUAGUUGUAAUAAAUUUUGUGGAAGUAUAGAAAACAAACGUUUUCAGUGUUUUAUUGUUAGAUAAAAUGAACUUCCAUCAAGUAACGGUCGAAUCCAUCAAUUAUUUGAAGAAAUAAUGCUGAACACUGCGACACAUUCACAUGAUCCAGAAAACAACAUAGUUCUGGAUUAAAACAGAAACUCGCCGUUUCAGGCAGAGGUAUCAAGAUAAACCAUCUUUUUAAGGCAGAACAAAGGUACAUCUGGAUGGGUAAACCUUUGCAUAGGCGACAGUCCAAAGAAGGCAACCAAGACUAUGUCAACAAUUCAUCAUCGAACCAUUGGUUGGCAUCAGGAAAGAUGGUUCUCGAAAAAGAAAGUUUCAUACUUGCCUUUCAGAAUCGGGUUAUUCCAAACGAAUGCAAUGUAAAAUUAAAGAAUACAAGAAUAAUCAAUUACAUUAGAAAGAAGUAAUCAUAUAUUUAUGUCGAUGUGUGCUUGUACAGAAUAAAACCAACGAAAAUUAUUUAGAAAUACUUCGUAAGAAGAAAUUAGAAAGAAGCAAAACUUUAAUUAAAUGCAAGGAAAACAAUAAUUGUAAACAGUCAGAAAAAUGUAAAAUAAAAAGAAAUUUGUCGAAAUUCCACCAUCUGAAAGGGCACAAGAACAAGAACAAACGUUUUCUUUUUCAUUUUUGAAGUCUACUUUGGUCUUUAUAAUAAUUAUUAUUGCAAAAUGAUUUUUAAAGUAUGUAUAGAAAGAAAUACAAUUUAUUAGUCCUUAAUAUACUUGCAUAAACAAAUACAAAAACCGUUAUUGUAAUAAUUAAACUGUGUCAAUAUUUUGUUGUUUUGCAAAUUUUCUUACAAAUAAAAAAUGCGGUAACCUUGAACUUACACGUGUAAUAAUAUUGUUUUCCAAUUUAGCUCUCUUUGUAAAAAUUAACAUGUGCCAGGUAUUUGUUUUGCUACACUUUUCGGUCAGUUGAAAUGUUUUUAAUAAAUCUAAAAAACUUCAAGUAUAAUAGUUAUAGUACCAAAAUAUUAUACACUGCUUUACAAUGAAAACGAACUAGUCUGAAUAUUGCGAUUCAAAAAAUUGCGAAAUAAUCAAUUUUGGUUUUUAAGGGGAAACAUUUUUAUAUAAAAAUAUACCCUCUGUUAUGCGGCUCAUACACCAAGGCGAUAUCCAACAUACAACAUCCAGCCGCAAAAGUCCACUGCUGAACACAGGCCUUCUCCUCCUGUUUCCAACCCUGUCUAUCCUGCGCCGUUUCAUCCAGUUUUUAUUGAGCCUUCUUAAAUCUUCAGUCCAUCUUGUAGGUGGUCGACCGACGCUUCUCUUGUUUUCUCUCGGUCUCCAUUCCAAUAACCUCUUUGUCCAUCGCUUAUCUGUCAUUCUUGCUAUGUGUCCUGUCCAUAUCCACUUUAGUCUGGCUAUCCUUUCGAUGAUGUUAGUCACCUUUGGUCUUCUCCUGAUUUCUUUGUUUUUGAUUCUGUCUCGCAGGCAGGGCUAUUCCCAAAAUGGACCGCUCCAUUCUUCUCUGUGUGACUCUUAGUUAGCCGAUGCUUUAGUUAAGGUAAGUGUUUCUGCUCCGUAUGUCAAGACUGAGAGGACGCAGAGAUCAAAUACCUUUCUCUUUAGGCACGUUGGCAACUCACUUUUAAAAGUUUUCCAUAUGCUGCUCACAGUUUUCCAUAUGCUACCAUAUGAAGACCGAUUCUUCUCUUCAGUUCGUGAGUCUGGUUAUCUGGUUCAGUUCAGUUGGUGAGUCUGGUAAUACUGAUAUUCUGGUUGGGUACCAUAUUUGUCAUUAUUUUUGUUUUCGAGAUGGUUUUAUUUAAACCUACAUUUUAUGUAGCCACAACAAGUUCCUGUACCAUCUCCCUUGCCAUACCUAGAUCCUCAGCUAUUAUGAAUAUAUCAUCGGCGAAAGGUAAGUUGUGUAGGUAUUCUCCAUCUAUCCUUUCUUCAGCACCGUAUGAAAUAGUUUAGGUGACGUUGGGUCCCCUUAUUUAACCAUUCGCUCUAUUUUUAUGCGAUUACUAUUGGUAUGUAAUUUGACAGGGAUUGUUGCCUCUAUUAGGUAUACAUAAUAUUGUAUAAGAAUUUUGUAUACCUAUACUCUAGCCUGCAUUCUUUAAGCGCCUGUAGUACUUUGCUUUGAUACUCAAACUUUGCUGUGUAUCAAAGGCUUUGUGAAAAUCGAUUAGCUAAUCGAUGAACUAUUAGCACUGGAGGUUUAUUGUAUUCCACUGGUGGAAGAAGUAACUUAUCCUCUUCUGCCACCUCCCUCAAUGGGGUGUACUGAAGCCUUUAUUGGAGGGCUACAUUUGAAAUUCGUUCUUGCCAUGUAGGCUUGGAAAUAAAGCAUUACACCUCUAACUUUUUUAGAGUAAGACGGGUAAUUUUCGCGCAAUGAAAAAAUAUAAUUUCUUCAUAAAGAGUAUUAGAUGUAUAGAUUGUUUCAAGUUGUUUAAAUCUGUGACUUCAUUUAAAAAAUGUUUUUUCCAAAUUAGUAUAUUUGAUUCAUGAGCUUGUAAUAUCCGUGCAAUAGAAAAUAUUAAUACGAAAAGUAGGUGCAUGUAAGAUACGUUGUAUAUAAUCUUUGCACAAAGAUACGUAGAUUAUGAGACUGAUACCUCAGUAAGUGUCUCUUGUAUAAAUUAAUAAACCUUUUUUUAACAAACAUUUUCACAUAAUAACCAUUUUAAAACCAUUUCAUGUUUCUUCCCUAUCAUCACACAGCUAUGGCACACGCUACUUGGCUAAUUAAGCCCACAUACAUUUUGUUGUCAAGGGCGCGACCAUAGUGCACGCUGGUUUCCAGCGUGAGUCAGAAAGCCGAUGCCCAGUCGGUGUAGCUAAAUCCUUCGUAUUUAAAUGGACCUAUCCAAAGUGCACCAGCAUUAGAGAUACGACGUUCUGAAGAGGUGUUAGAUCACCUGAAACAGGACAAACGUAGAUCCAAAAAAAUCCAUAAACAGCAAAACGACCCGAAUCGAGUCAAAUGCACCAGCGCGCUGACAACUACGAAAUGAUAAUUCGCACACUGACUUGGAGCUGGCUGUCUGACUCAAAAACUAGCGGGCACUAUGGAUGCGUCCUAAGGAAACGUCCAAGGUGCACGCUGGUUUUCGGAAUCAGCACCGAGUCUGUGUGCGAAUAAUCCUUCGUAUUUAAACGGGCCUGUCCAAAGUGUACCUGCACUCUGACAACUUAAUAUAAAGGGUUAUUCGCACAUGGACUCGGCGCUGACUCAGAAAACCAACACCGAGUUUGUGUUGGAGUGCCCGUUUAAAUACGAAGGAUUAUUCGCAUACAGACCCGACGCUGAUUUCGAAAACCAGCGUGCACGUUGGACGUAUAGUCUAAGCGCCAAAUAGAGGUCACCGUGUCCUUUUCAAUUCUGAUGGACAAAUUCAAAGGUUUCUUAUGGAUUUUUGGCUGCUGAUUUCGAAUUUCGAGAGAGGAUUUCGAUCCGAGUGGUCAAAAAAUUGUUAUAAAUAAUUUAAUUGUUUAUAAGGCUCUGGCUCAUAAACUAAAAGAGAUAAAAAAUAUUUCAAAUAAAAUUUGUUCCUUAAUAAAAAACGAAGAAAAAACGUUUACUAAACUUAAAUCCAACAAUUAGAACUCAAGAUAUUGUAAAAUUGGUGCACAAUGCAAAUUGCAAAAUAAGUAUUUUUCGAAGCUUUAUCGAUCGUAACUCGGCUUCUACGAAUGCAAAUGAGCCUUAGAAGGUCUCAUUUUAAAGCUUAAUCAAUAGGCUUCGAAACGAAGUUUGCUAAAGUACUUGAUCUUCAUUUGUUUUAAAGUUAUACCCGUUUGAAGUUCUAAUUUUCUUAAAAAAAUUAUACAUUAAUUUGUUUAUAAGGGUUUCAAGCAAAUUUGCGCUAUAAACAUUUAUACUUUAAUUAACGAUAAUGAUAGAAGAACUCAAAAGGAACAAUUUGAGCUUAUGGAAAUGUUCGUAAGUUUAUUUUUGCCCAAGAUGUCGAUAUUUUUGCUACGAAUUUCGUCACUUACUUGCCUGUGAGCCGAUCUUGCGCCUCAUAGCGCGCCAUUAAAAUAUUGAUAUCUUGAGUUCUUCUAUCAUUAUUGUUAAUUAAAGUAUAAUUGUUUAUAUACCCCAUUCCACGAAUAUACCACCCUCUUGGAUUAUCGUCGACAACGAAUAUUUUACUGUGCAAAAUAUGAAGAACGAAAGUAAAUUGCAAAUUAUAUUAUUGUUUUUUGAAGUAAUUAUUAUAGCAAAAUACUUUCGUACUUCUUAUGUUGCACACUAAAAUAUUCGUUGUCGCUAUAAUCCAAAACAGUCGUAUAUUCGUAGAAUACACCAUAGCUCAAAUUUGUUUGAAACCCUCAUAAACAAAUUAAUGUAUAAUUUUAUAACUUCAAACGGGUAUAACUUUAAAACAAAUAAAGAUAAAUUAACUUAACAAACUUUGUUUGGAAGCCUAUUAAUUAAACUUUAAAAUGAGAUCUUCUAAGGCUCAUUUCCAUUCGUAGAAGCCGAGUUAAGAUCGAUAAAGCUAAACGAAUUUCGUCACUUACUUGACUGUGAGCAGAUUUUGAGCCUCAUAGCGCGCCAUUAAAAUAUCGAUAUCUUGGCCAUCAAUACACUUACGAACAUUUUCAUAAGCUCAAAUUGUUCCUUUUGAGUUCUGCUAUCAUUAUUGUUAAUUAAAGUAUAAAAUUGUUUAUAGCUCAAAUUUGUUUGAAACACAUAAACAAAUUAAUAUACAAUUUUUUUAAAAAAAUUAUAACUUCAAACGUAUAUAACUUUAAAACAAAUAAACAUAAAGUAAUUUAACAAACUUUUUUUGCAAGCCUAUUAACUAAUCUUUAAAAUGAGAUCUUCUAAGGCUCAUUUGAAUUCAUAGAAGCCGAGUUACAGUCGAUAAAGCUUCGAAAAAUACUUAUUUUGCAAUUUGUAUUGUGCACUAAUUUUACAAUACCUUGAGUUCUAAUUGCUGGAUUUAAGUUUAGUAAACGUUUUUUUCUUCGUUUUUUAUCAAGGAACAACAUUUUAUUUGAAACAUUUUUUUACCUCUUUUAGUUUAUGAGCCAGAGCCUUAUAAACAAUUAAAUUGUUUAUAACAAUUUUUUGACCACUCGGAUCGAAAUCCUCUCUCGAAAUUCGAAAUCAGCAGCCAAAAGUCCAUAAGAAACCGUUGAACUUGUCCAUCAGAAUCGAAAAGGACACGGUGGCCCCUGGCGCCUAGACUAAUAGUAGGGACGCUUAAGAUGGUUUUAAUAUAAAAAUGUUCGUAAAACAUGGUUUUUACAAAAAUAUUACAGCAUAUUCGUGAAGUGCCUUAAUAUUAUGUAAAUACCUUGUUCUCAUUUAGAGUUUUUAAGGAAAAAAGUUUAUGUUACUUAUUUCAAAGUAUUUAUUGUAUCUUCCUUCAAUUGUUUAAUGCAUCUGGAUAUAUUUAUUAUUGUAUUAUAAAUAAACUUUUUGUAAUAA